GGUAGAGCACUUAUAACUCACCCACACUAGCACUAUGGAUGCUCAAGAAGUAGAAACUAUCUGAACAAUUCUUCCAGCCGUUAUCCUAGUUAUGAUUGCUUUACCCUCCCUUUGCAUUCUUUAUAUAAUAGACGAAAUCAACGACCCAGCACUAACAG